GAUGAACGCUGGCGGCGUGCCUAAUACAUGCAAGUCGAGCGAACAGACGAGGAGCUUGCUCCUCUGACGUUAGCGGCGGACGGGUGAGUAACACGUGGAUAACCUACCUAUAAGACUGGGAUAACUUCGGGAAACCGGAGCUAAUACCGGAUAAUAUAUUGAACCGCAUGGUUCAAUAGUGAAAGACGGUUUUGCUGUCACUUAUAGAUGGAUCCGCGCCGCAUUAGCUAGUUGGUAAGGUAACGGCUUACCAAGGCAACGAUGCGUAGCCGACCUGAGAGGGUGAUCGGCCACACUGGAACUGAGACACGGUCCAGACUCCUACGGGAGGCAGCAGUAGGGAAUCUUCCGCAGUGGGCGAAAGCCUGACGGAGCAACGCCGCGUGAGUGAUGAAGGUCUUCGGAUCGUAAAACUCUGUUAUUAGGGAAGAACGAAUGUGUAAGUAACUAUGCACGUCUUGACGGUACCUAAUCAGAAAGCCACGGCUAACUACGUG
rnacentral:rRNA from 1 species